rnacentral:rRNA from 1 species
UACGUAGGGUGCGAGCGUUAAUCGGAAUUACUGGGCGUAAAGCGUGCGCAGGCGGUUCGCAAAGUCUGAUGUGAAAGCCCCGGGCUCAACCUGGGAACUGCAUUGGAAACUAACGGGCUCGAGUGUGGCAGAGGGGGGUGGGAAUUCCACGUGUAGCAGUGAAAUGCGUAGAGAUGUGGGGGAACACCAGUGGCGAAGGCGGCUCUUUGGUCUGUAACUGACGCUGAGGCGCGAAAGCGUGGGGAGCGAACAGG